rnacentral:tRNA from 1 species
GGGGCUGUGGCUCAGUGGCAGAACACCUGCCUUGCAAGCAUAAGGUCUCGGGUUCAAUCCCUAGCAUCUCCA